GCGUGCCGAUGAUGAUUAAAAGAGCUAACAAUGGUGAAUUCGAUGAAUGUGCUUGCGUGCCGCUGGGUGCGCAGCUAUGGUCAGGGUUUCACUUAUCGCAUGAUAAUCGCGC
rfam:Oryza rufipogon genomic scaffold, chr10